CUUUGUGUUCUUAGUGCUAUGUGUCCAUUUAGUAUUUAUAUAAAGCUGAGCUGAGUGGUGUAUUCGAGUCUCAUCAACACUCACUAUGAAGAUCCCACUCUCCUUGCUCCUGCUAUUAAUCACCAUCAUCAGUGUGAAAUGUGAAAGUCUCGAGUCAUUACAAACAACAGUGCAAAAGAAACCUGGAGAAACUCUGAGUCUCUCCUGCAGAGGAUCUGGGUUUACUUUCGGAAGCUACAGCAUGCACUGGAUCAGACAACAGGCGAACAAACCACUGGUGUGGAUGGGGCAUAUCUAUACUGAUGGCAGUGUCACUAGGUAUAGUAAACCUUUUGAAGGCAGAACAGAAAUCACCAGAGAUAAUUCCAACAGCAUGGCAUAUCUCAAACUCUCUGGUGUGACAGCAGAGGACACGGCUGUGUAUUACUGUGCAAGAGACACAGUAGCACAAAGAUGAGGAAACACUGUACAA